rnacentral:rRNA from 1 species
UACGUAGGGGGCAAGCGUUGUCCGGAAUCAUUGGGCGUAAAGAGCGUGUAGGCGGUUCAGUAAGUCUGCUGUGAAAGUCCAGGGCUCAACCCUGGGAUGCCGGUGGAUACUGCUGGACUAGAGUGCGGAAGAGGCGAGUGGAAUUCCCGGUGUAGCGGUGAAAUGCGCAGAUAUCGGGAGGAACACCAAUUGCGAAGGCAGCUCGCUGGGACGGUACUGACGCUGAGACGCGAAAGCGUGGGGAGCAAACAGG